UGGGGAAUAUUGCGCAAUGGGGGCAACCCUGACGCAGCCAUGCCGCGUGAAUGAAGAAGGCCUUCGGGUUGUAAAGUUCUUUCGGUAGCGAGGAAGGCAUUUAGUUUAAUAGACUAGAUGAUUGACGUUAACUACAGAAGAAGCACCGGCUAACUCCGUGCCAGCAGCCGCGGUAAUACGGAGGGUGCGAGCGUUAAUCGGAAUAACUGGGCGUAAAGGGCACGCAGGCGGUGACUUAAGUGAGGUGUGAAAGCCCCGGGCUUAACCUGGGAAUUGCAUUUCAUACUGGGUCGCUAGAGUACUUUAGGGAGGGGUAGAAUUCCACGUGUAGCGGUGAAAUGCGUAGAGAUGUGGAGGAAUACCGAAGGCGAAGGCAGCCCCUUGGGGAUGUACUGACGCUCAUGUGCGAAAGCGUGGGGAGCAAACAGGAUUAGAUACCCUGGUAGUCCACGCUGUAAACGAUGUCGAUUUGGGGGUUGAACUUUAAGUUUGGCGCCCGUAGCUAACGUGAUAAAUCGACCGCCUGGGGAGUACGGCCGCAAGGUUA
rnacentral:rRNA from 1 species